AGUGAACGCUGGCGGUAGGCCUAAUACAUGCAAGUCGAACGGCAGCACAGUAAGAGCUUGCUCUUACGGGUGGCGAGUGGCGGACGGGUGAGGCAUACAUCGGAAUCUACUUUUUCGUGGGGGAUAACGUAGGGAAACUUACGCUAAUACCGCAUACGACCUACGGGUGAAAGCAGGGGAUCUUCGCACCUUGCGCGAUUGAAUGAGCCGAUGUCGGAUUAGCUAGUUGGCGGGGUAAAGGCCCACCAAGGCGACGAUCCGUAGCUGGUCUGAGAGGAUGAUCAGCCACACUGGAACUGAGACACGGUCCAGACUCCUACGGGAGGCAGCAGUAGGGAAUAUUGGACAAUGGGCGCAAGCCUGAUCCAGCCAUACCGCGUGAGUGAAGAAGGCCUUCGGGUUGUAAAGCCCUUUUGUUGGGAAAGAAAAGCAGCAGGUGAAUACCCCGCUGUUCUGACGGUACCCAAAGAAUAAGCACCGGCCAACUUCGUG
rnacentral:rRNA from 1 species